GGAUGCUGCGGCUUCACGCAGAAAUCAGAUCUGGAAAUGUAAUGCACAUGAAGAGCGUGACCCCAGUAGUGACCGUUGCUGUGGCAGGUGGCUUCCUGCCCAGCUGGGGGCAGGAGGGUUGCUGGGGGGAAGUGUGGUAAAUCUUUCCUGUGCUGCGGGCCCUUGUCCUCCAGGCGGCACGGGCCUGGGGCGUUCCUCCCUCUAGCGGUAAGCAAAGCUCCUUCGGGGGCCCUUUCUUGCUUCAUCUGAAACUGUGCAAAGAGUGAUCAAAACAGGAAGAGGCCUGUCAGUUGUCUGCGUAAGAACCAACCAAAAGUUCAAGACUCCUUCCCGCUCCAAGCUGCCAGAAUGGCAAAGGCCCCUCGUGACUCUCUCGGCAGCCUCUCCCCCAGCUUGCCCGUCAGCUCUGUCACGCUGCCGCAGUGACUUUAGCCAGCUGGGAAACCCAGAGGUCGAUAUUAACUGCUCGGUGUGCAACCAGAGCCCGUGAAAGCUGCAGGAAGCUGAAUUCAGAAAAUGUGCGAUGACAAGGCCACAGAGACAGAGCGAAGGGAACAAGCUCCUUGGGGGCGCAGAUGACGUAUCUGGAGUUUUCAUGUUCGUUGAACAGGAAAUUGCUCCGUGUCCAUUCCAAAUAUUUCUGGAAAGCAAUUGCUGUGCACAUCAAGAGAAGACCUCGCUUUGUUUUGUUUAGAAUUUUUCCAGGAGUUGUUCACUGUUUUGGGAAAUCGCGUUAGCAAUGUCAACACCACUCAUGGACUUUGAGUUUCCGGUACUAAACACCCAGAUGAGCCUGCCCUGGUGGCUGCCACAUUUACUGCGAUUCCAGGGUCUCACUGUCACCCAGGUGGGAGUACAGUGGUGCAAUCAUACCUUACUGCAGCCUGCACCUCCUGGGCUCAAGCGAUCCUCCUGCCUCAGCUCCUGAGUAGCUGGAACUACAGGUGUGUGCCACUGUGCCUGACUUGAUGUGCUAAACCUUAUGAGGUAUUUACACUUAUUCAAAAAAGAUUCUAGAGACCUUAGAUGGGAGAGAUUGAGGCUGGUGCCUAGGAACCUUCUCCAGUGGAUUGUUUAACAGAUGGCUUGGGACUGCUUGGAGAAGGAAGUGGUCAGUACAGAGGGCUGCUGUGGCUUCACCCUCAUUUCCUUUCUCCAGCAUGACCCUGUUAUUGAUUAUAAGAGCUAAUAUAUAUGAAGCGCUUUCUAUGUGCCAGCACUAUGCUAAAUGUUUCAAAGCAUUUAAACUUCACAAAAAACUGUGAGGUGGGUGCUGUUAUUAUUUCUAUUUAUAGAUGAAGAAACUAAGCCUUGGAAAGAGAAGCACCUGCAUUUCUGUUUGUCCCUCUUCCUUCUGUUCCUUAAAAGCCUGGCUCAUUCUCAUUCUUCAGGACUCUGUUCAAGGUCAUCGGUGAGGCUUUCCCUGCCCACCUAUCUAGCUGCCCACUGCUGACCCCAGGGCCCUGAUAAAAACACUCACCCAUGUCCAUUUCCUUCAUAGGACAUAUUCGAAUCUGCAGAUACCUUAAAAAAAAUUUUUUUUUUAAAGAGAUGGGGUCUUGCUCUGUUGUCCAGGCUGGAAUGCAAUGGCAUGAUCACAAGUCACUAUAGCCUUGAACUCUGGGGCUGAAGCAGUCCUCCCACCUCAACAUCCCGAGUAGCUAGCACCACAGAUACAAGCCAUCAUGCCCCGCUAAUUUAAAAGAAAAAAAUUAUAGCGACAAGGUUUUACUGUAUUUCCCAGGCUGGUCUCAAACUCCUGAGCUCCAAUUUUCCCACCUUGGCCUCCCAAGAUGUUGGGAUUAUGGCGUGAGCCAAGGUAUUUAUUUACUUAUUCACUUGCUUAAUUUCAGUCUCUACUAUUCAGACAUAAGCUUGGUGAGGACAGGGACCUUGUCCCCUCCUGUUUGUCCUAUGUUGGUGUCUAGCAGGGUGUCUGGAAUAUAACAGGAACUUAAUAAAAUAUUUGAAUGAAUGAGUGCAUGCAUGAAUGAUUGUAAUUCAGUAAUUACAUUGGGAUUUGGGCCCAAGCUUGUCUCAUGCCAGAGACCAAGGGCUCAACACCCCUCUGUUCUGCUCCUGUGUUAUACUCACUCAUCCAUUCAACAAGCUUCAUAAAAUUAUUAACAAAUGCCAGGCACUGAAGUAGGUGCUGGAGAAUUUAAUGAGUAAGACACAGUCUCUGCCCUUGAAACUCUCACUUCUGAAAGGUCAAGGUAGUGGUUGGAAGUAGAAAAUUGACCCACCUUAUAAUAGAGUUAAAUACAAAGUGACAUAGCCACAAAAAGAAGGGACCACCUAGCUGCCCUGCCAGACUGGGAAGACUUCUGCAGAGUUGGUGACUUUGAACCUGACCUUGAAGGAGAAUUCUGGGCUGUUGGGAAAGGAGUCUGUGUAUAGAGGCAGGGAGGAGAACACACAAGUAUCUAAUGAGCGGCAUGGGACUCUGACCAUCCUACACUGUUGAGUCACAUUUUGAUCUCAGUGCCUAGUUGUUAGGAGGGCCACUGACCAACUGACCACUUAGUGGGAACAUCAUGAAGGGAAAUUUUAUCUGGGGUGGGGGUAGGGGGCACUGGGUGUGGUAUCUGGAUGGCCCCUAACUGUCCUUCAACUCUAAGAGUGGUGUGAUUGGGAGGACUGCCUCAUGGAAAAAGGCACCAAAAUACAGAACCAGACUAUAGGGAUACACUCUUGAGGACAGAAUUCAUGUGAGUGUGUGUGUUCGCACGCGCAUGUGUGUGUGCGCGCGUGCAUGUGUGUGUGUGUGCAUGUGUGUGUGUAUGAAUAUGAAUAUAUGUAUAUAUUCAUAGCAUGGCCAUAUUCAUAUUCUUGCCCUAAAUUUAGAUAAUUUCUUAAUGAGAAGGAUAACUACAACCAAAAUGUACAUAUUGGUAUGUAGUUUCUAAAGCAUCUUCUCAAACAUGAUCUCAUUUUAUCCUCCACUAGACUGCUAGGUAUUCUGAAACUCAGAAAGACCAUUUAUUCAUUUAUUCGGUUUAUGUGUAUCGAGAACAAAGCCCUAGCCCAGACCUGGGCAGUGCAUAGGGGUAUAGUCCCAAGAGUGCUUAGGUACAAAGAUGAAAUGAAGGGCUGUGAAUCCAUCCAGCAUGUGGGAAAGGAACUCCAGCCAGGGACCCCUGAGUUGUGCUGAACAUGGCUGCCAGCAGCCUGGGAUCCUGAGUCAGUCUUGUCUUGUACUCACUCUCCAGGCAGUGGGUAAUUAAUGAGAUCAUUACUACAUGUGUCCUGGUUAGAUUAUAGGCUGGCUGCUAAGACAAAGACCCUUAAAUAGGUAGGAUUUCACCAUGAUGAAAAUUGAUUUCUCUCUCAUGCAGCCCUCCAGCUAGGUAUGGUGGCUCUGCUCCAGGAAGUCAUGAAAUGCUAGGCUCUGUCCACUUCGUUGCUUUGCCUGUUCUAGGGAGCUGAACCCAUCCAGAGAGUCCAAGAUGACUCCUCAUUAUGAUUCAUGCUGUGUUCAGAUGCAACUUGACACAGAUGCUUAAAUGACAUCUCCAGGACCUGGGCCUCUCUCAGUGUGGCUCCCUCAUCAGCUGAAUCAGAAUCUCCUCUGCACCCUCAGGCAGGCUCUUCCACUGUGGUUGUAAGAGGGUUUGGGCAGCUCCCUCUUCAUGUGCUCUCAGCUUUAUGUCCAGCAUCUCCCCUCUAAGAGUCAAAUGAAAGUCCCGUGCUGCCUCUCAGUGACCUGCACCAUUCCCAGUGGUGGGACAGGAGAAGUUGUUCGCUAAGACUACUAGAAGCGCCCCUGCAGCCUGCCCCCACAACUGUGUAGCUGAGAGUGAGGGAAGGAUGAGUCCCUACAGAAAAUUCUCUAUACUGUUUGACCAGGAGAAGGAUGAAUGACUGUAAAGUAGUUAAAAAAAAAACAACAACAAGGCCAGGCAUGGUGGCUCAUCCCUGUGAUCUUAGCACUUGGGAGGCCAAGGCAGGUGGAUCACCUGAGGUCAGGAACUUGAGACCAGUCUGGCCAACAUGGUGAAACCCUGUCUCUACUAAUAAUACAAAAAUUAGCUGGGCAUGGUGGCAGGUGCCUGUAAUUCCAGCUACUCUGGAGGCUGAGGCAGGAGAAUCACUUGAACCCAUGAGGCAGAGGAUAGAGUGAGCCGAAAUCACACCAUUGCACUCCAGCCUGGGCAACAAGAGCAAAAUUCCACCUUAAAAAUCAAAAUAAAAAACAAAAAAAACAAAACAGAACUCAUAUUUCUUCUCUCAAUCAAUUAUAUGUACUUCUAGAGUCUAUGAUCCAUAGCAGCUGUCUUCAAACUCCCCAGUUUUGACUAUGCCCCCAAUAAGCACAUUUAUUUCUUUGUAAGUACCACAUGUGCUAUUCUACUAAUAUAUCUCUGUGAUACAGACUACCAGUUGUGCACAGAGGUCCAUCCUUUCCUACUUCCUCAGUAUAGCAUUCCCUAAUGGGCACAUGGCAUCCUAGAACAGACUACAUUUCCCAGGACCCCUUGCAGCUACGUGUGGUCAUGUGACUCAGUUUUAUCCAGUGAAAUUCAGAAGGGAGGGCGCAUUUCCAGGAAGUGUGCUUAAUGGGAGAGUAUACAGCUCUUCCCUCCUUUUUCCUUUCUGCUGCCUAGAAUGUGGAUGUGAUGGCUGGACCAUGAACAACAACCUUAGAUAAUGAAGUGGAAGCCACGUGUUGAACAUCUUGAUGCAACCAGAGAAGACACUUUGCUAGCUCUGGGCAGCAUACCACCAGACUCCAUUUAUUUUAUUUUAUAUUAUUUAUUAUUAUGAUUUUUGAGACAGACUUUCGCUCUUGUUGCCCAGGCUGGAGUGCAAUGGCACAAUCUAAGCUCACUGCAGUCUCUGCCUCCUGGGUUCAAGCAAUUCUCCUGCCUUAGCCUCCCGACUAGCUGGAAUUACAGGCAUGCACCAUCAAACCUGGCUAGUUUCAUAUUUUUAGUAGAGAUAGGGUUCCUCCAUGUUGGUCAGGCUGGUUCUCUUGAACUCCUGACUUCAGGUGAUCCACCCACCUUGGCCUUCCAAAGUGCUGGGAUUAUAAGUGUGAACCACCACACUUGGCUGGACUUCAUUUAUAUUCAAGAGAAAGGAACUUCUCUCUUGUUUAAAAUGUUGUCGUUUUGAACAUUCCUUUCUUUUAAUCACAGGCAAGUCUAAUCUUAUCUGAUACGAUUAUAAUGCAUGUACUAAAAUUGAUAUAAAAAAGAGUUAAAAUAACUAUAAAGUUAUGUUUGAUAACUUUGGGAGUUCUAAUAUUUUUGGUACCACAUUGGAUAGAAUCUCACAUCUCUGGAGUCAAGGCUGCAUUCCUGCCUCUCCCUGCCCAUUUUAGAGACCUCAGUCUUCUCAGCCCAUGCUCUGUGGUGCCCAACAGGGUUAGUGACAUUUGUGGCUGUGUAUCUCUCCUCCUCUGAAUACACUUUGCUCUUUGAGGAAGUAGCCCUGAAGGAAGUUCUCUGAAUCAUCUAGCACAGCUAGGGCAAAAUCACACUUAGUCCUUGCCUUUUACUUAUUCUUUUUCUGUCAUCCAGACCUUGCUUUUGCUGGGAAGCAGACAAGAAACUCUGAAGAAAUUGAAAAGAUGAGAUACGAUCUGAAUUUAAAGAAGUGGGCAAUCUGUAAUUGUCAGAAAAACAGAUGUGCACUUCCAGCCUGUGCUGCUGCUGCUAAGGUGCACCCACUCACAAACCCACUUCUCCGAGCACAUGACUCUGCUAGCUCUUUGGGGCUCUGCAGGGAAGGAGUGAGGGAGGGGGAAGAGGCAGAGAGCUGGGUUGUCUGAAAGCUUUCCCCAGGCCUCACCUUCCUCUUCCCUGGAAAGCAAUGCCCGUGAGGUCAUAUCCAUCACACCACCUCAGACAGAGAUUGUCAGGAUGAACUCAGUUCCAUCACUUUGAGGCGGAGGGUAUGCCGAUCCCCAUACAGGCUGAUCCUGAGAAACCAGACCCUGCCUGGUCUGUUUAGGAUCUGGGCGAGUCCAUCCUCCCUCCCUUCUCCCCCGUGAGGCACCAGUGUCCUGAUUGUAUCACAGCUUCAAAAUUCCCUGACUCAUGCCAUCCUCGAUUUUAGAAAAGAGCUUAUUCAAGUGGUGUAGGCUGCACGCUCCACCCCCUCCCACUCAAUCCAGCGAUUGAAUUACAGCACCCAUGUGUGGCAGAGGGGCCAGGGAAGGAAGGGGCUGGGAAGUGGGAGAGGGGCUCCUGGAACCAGAGGGAGAGGCCCUUGAAGAAAACUUGUGAUGAUCUCAUUAUGAAAAAAAUCUCUUGGUGCCCAAAGAAUGGCUGGCCCUUAAUCCCAAGUGUGGGCAGUCAGAAAUGAGGAAGACCUCUGAGGUCAUCCAAGUCUGCUAGGGAAAACCAGCCGAGCUGAAAAGGAAGGCAUCCCCUUCCCCCAUCACCGUCUGAUCUGGGCUAUUCUCCCACACUUUUAGGUAGCCAGGCUAUCAUGUGAUUUGCUAGUAACCAUGGCAACAAACCUUGUUUCACGAAGUAUAUGGAGAGAAACCCCAGGGAAAGAGAUCGGUGUUGUGUUUUACCCAGGGCAGCUUGCCUCUAACUCAGUCUGUUCUCCUCACUGCUGUGGCAAUUGUUGUUGAGGAAAUGGCAGUGAUUUGCUCUCUUCUGAGCUGGAGACAUUGUGGAUGUUUUUGUUCUCCUCCUGCUACUUGUCUCCCCUAUUUCGGAGCACAGUCUCUGAAGACGAAAGACAAAAAUAGCUCUCUCCAAAGGAGAGGAUGCUAAUGUGCUUUCUGUGCUUUCAAAGUGGGCUUUUUGAUUGUAAAAACCUCCACCUCUAGUAACUUAAAACUGGUGGCAAGUUCUGCUUUCUGACCACAAGAGAAGCACCAGCCACUGGGUUCACACACUGCUGUCUGCCAUGAGAAGCCGCAGAGAAGUGGUCUGCACUGGGGAGACUGAACAGCAGUGAGUGGGGGUGCAACGCCCACCCAACUGUGGGCACCGACACGCUCCAGCUCUCAGGCAGAGCUAGAGGAAGUGGUUCAGAUAUUCUUUGUUGCAAGUGAAGGGCAUAAUUAUAAUUUGGCGAAACACCCGUCGUUAAGUGAUCCUGUAGCCAGCAGACAAAUGACCGCUGUGGGAUAAUGUCUGAGCUCGCACAGCAGGCCCUGCAAGCCACCUGUCAAUCUGCCUUUACAGAGACAAGCCAGUCAGGUGCUGCCUUUUUAGGAGAAUGGCGUUCCUGACUCAGCCAUGUGCCGUCUGUGUGACCUUGAACAAGUCACUUAGUCUGUUUGGCUGUCAGUUUCUCCAUCUUUAAAAUAGGCAGAGUGAUUCUUGGGUAGCCAUUCUCACCAGGUUUUCAUAAUCAUAUUUAAUAAUAUGGAAAAAAUACUUCAAAAUAUAAAUUAAAAAGGACAGUACUUCAAAACUAUAAUCACUACAAAGUAUCAUCUUUCUUUUAGUUGUGGAAGUAUUCAUUUCUAAAGAAUUCAAAAAGUCAGAACGAAUAAGUAAUUAGGUCAAAAAGUGAUGGUAGUGCCAACCCACAGAAGUUACCGCUGUGUGAUUUUUAGCUAACAUUUAAUAAGUGCAAAGCCAAUUAUGUAUUUCAUUUCAUCUUCACAACACUUCCAUGGGUGUCACUGAUUUGUAUUUUGCAGAUGAGACUCCAGUGAUAGAAUGAGGAUCCAGCUCCUGGAUAGUCUGAUACCCGAGUCUAGGCUGUUAACGCGCUGCUAGAACACUGUGCUGGGGCCAUUUCAUUUGAAACAUUCUCUGUGCUGUUGGAGGGCAGUUACCAGGUGGUUUCCUGGGAGCUCACAGAGCAACAUGGCCUGUGUGUGCGUGUGGGCGUGUGUGUGUAUUUAUGUUUAUAAAGAGGAGGCCGCCUUGCUUCCUUAUUUCAGGAUAGCGCGGUCCCAUGCUACCAUGACCAUCUUUUAGGGUCUUCAUGGAGAACUUCUAGUUCAGCCAAGAAUGUUGUGUCUGGCCUGGUUUCGAUGGUGAGAACAGAAGUACUGUUAGUGAGUGUGCAAAGCCAGAAGGAGACGGAGUCUUGUGACAACACUGCCGAGGCAGAGAAGCAGUCAGCUGGUUUGAAAAGCUGGGCCACCUGGGUUCCAUACCCUUGGACUGUCUAAUCUCACUGUACUGGUCACAUGUGCCCUUCCAGAGUCACUCUAAACUCUUCUUGUCCUUUUAUGGCCUGGUGGGCUCACCGCCUGGACCACAUCAAUGGGCCUCCUUGCCCUUUGUUUUCUGGCUGCAUUUGGGUGAUGGGGAGCCUUGCCAGGAGAAAAGUGAGGCCAAGGCAUUAUUCUCCUGGUUCCCUUGUCCUGGGUGGCUGAGGUUGGCUGCCCUUCAGUGAUAACUUCCAGCUGUUGCUAGCCCUGGGGCAUCAUGCUAUCCCUUGCAAGGUUUCUUACCUUGCUUAUACUUUCAUAAAUGUCCCCUUAUUAAACUUUCCUCCAUUUCCUAGCUGAAAUGUGCUCAUCUGCCACCUGCUGGGACCCUGCCUGAUACAGUAGGAUGAAGGACCUGCUUUCUAGGACUAUUGUGACAAUGAAAUAAGUGAAUACGUGUAAGGCAGGUGCUCCAUGUAACUAUCAUGUGGAAGUGGGAUUAGCCCCCUUGCCCAGCGCAUUUGCAAAUGCCCUCUUCAGGGUUACAGUCUGGCCAGCAAAUACUCUGCUUGGCAGAGUGGUUUGUCCAGUAGCCCCACCUCCAUUGUCUCCCCAGCUUUGGCUGCCUUGCAAAGGGAAACAAUGUGGGCUGGGCACAGUGGCUCACGUCUGUAAUCCCAGCACUUUGGGAGGCCGAGGUGGGCAGAUCACGAGCUCAAGAGAUGGAGGCCAUUCUGGCCAACGUGGUGAAACGCUGUCUCUACUAAAAAUACAAAAAUUAGUUGGGUGUGGUGGCAGACGCCUGUUGUCCCAGCUACUUGGGAGACUGAGGCAGGAGAAUCGCUUGAACCCGGGAGGCAGAGGUUGCAGUGAGCCGAGAUGGCGCCACUGUACUCCAGCCUAGCAACAGAGCAAGACUCCAUCUCAAAAAAAAAAAAAAAAAAAAAAAAAAAAAAAGAAAA